CUCUCUUCUUCUUUCCUCAUUUCUCUUUUCUAUUCUCUCUUUCUUUUUCUUCUUCUUUUCUCCGGCGGUCCAGAGAUGAAAUCUCUGUCGAAGAACUUCAUCGAAAAUUAGUAAAACCAAUCAAUUGAGUGUGGUGUUGAUGAGUUAAUAGUUUUGGUUUAGUUUGAAACUUCAGUUGAGUUGAAGAGAGGUGAUCUGUGAAGAAGUUAGGAUUCUGUUAAAUUGGUAAAGGAUUGAGUUGAGUUAAUAAUUGAAGAUCAGGAUGUGAAGAAGAAGGUUAUAGUUGUAUUUUGAAGAUUGUCUACAAAGAAGAAGAGUAACUGAGGAAUCUGAAAUUAGGGUUCUGUUCUUGAGAAUUUUGGAAAAGGAGAAAUUAGAAGAUGAAAUUGAGGUGUUUAGGGAAAGAGUAGAGAUGGGUUUGUCAUGAAUUAGGUAUAAGACUGAAGAAUUACUUGAGUUUGUUAGUUAGGGCUUGGGAAUUAGUGAAUUGAAGUAUUUCUGAAGUUAAGGUUGAUGAAUUGGAUUCGAUGAAGAACUGGGAUUUGAUUUCCGCAUCAAGAAGGUGAUGGAAUUAUUAUUGGUGAUGAUUCAGUAGACGCAUCAUGAGGUAAUUGAUUUGAUUUCUCAGUAACUUAGUAAAGUUAAUACGCUCUGUUGUGAGUUUAUAAGGCUGUUCAUAAUAGGAGAGUUAAAAGGAGUUUACUGUGUAUGAGGUGUUAUAAAUCAUUGGUGGUGAUGUUGUUGAACCAGUGGUGGAUAUGAAAUUGAGUUACAUUUGUAGCUUGUUGAACUGGUGGUGUUGAAAUGGAUAAUAUGAACAUGGUAAUGUUGAUGUGAGAAUUUGUUAUGGUUUGAUUAUCUGGUUGUAGUGUGUUGGUGUGAAGUAGUGACGUUGCAGAAAAGUAAAGGGUGAUGAUACAAUCCGGUGGAGGAAAAGAUGAGACCUGGAAUGAUGGUGAUGAUUGUGUUAGUUCUGAUAUCUGAAUUGUCGGUGGUUGCUGAUGAUGAUGGGUAUUGGAUGCGUGUAUGUAUGUCAAUGGAGGAGGAUAUAGGUAUUAUGAGUUGAUCUGAGUUAUUAUUGAUGUUGUAGAGGAGAAUUGAAAUAAUGAUGAACUAUUGAUAUUGUUGGUGGAGAUGGGGAUUGGAUCUACAUGGUUAAUGGUUGCGGUUGAGGAUAUAAGUGAUGGGGGAGUGUUGAGCAAUUGAUGGAUCUGUAGAUAAGAAGAGAUGUAAAUGAUUGUACUAAGUUAUAAGUUGUAGCACUGUUGUUGAAGUUGCAGGGGAUAUCAGUGGCUGUUGGAGGUUUAGAAACUAUAGGCGUUGGUGUUGUUUGUGCGUUUGUGAGUUGCAAGCAGGCAAGGUGCAACUGAAAUGGUAGUUGUAGGACUGUAAUCAGUGCUAGCUGUGAAAGCUUGGAAAAGCUGCAGUUGCAGUUAGUCUAUUAACAACUAUCGAUUCAAAGGAUGAACCAGAGGAUCGUGGAUCUCGAGGUAAGCGUGGCUUGUCAUCAAAAGAGGUGGGAAUACAUUUAACUCUUUUGAAACUAUUGUUGUUUCUUUUACAAAGGUUUAUGUUUAUAAACUCAUGCAUCGUCUGUUUGUGCAUUCCAUGCAUUAUUAUGUUUGUAUUAUGAUUAUUUUGUUGAUUCUUCUUAAUAUUUCCAUGAUUUGGAAAGGACUUGUAUUGUUCCGAAUGUCAUUAUGAAUUGUAUGGGAAAUAAGAAUUUCCACCUGUGGUAUA